UUUGCCCAGAAACCGGGAAAGGGAAUAACACUCGAAAUGUAUAUAAGAAAUACUCAAGUUAAUUAAAAAAAAAAAUGAUGACACCUGGCAGGUUGAGGCAGGAGAAGCAGGAGACCUGCCUAGGAUAUUCAGGAAGAGAUUGGUAACAACAAAAAUGAAACCACCUGUGAGAUGUAAGAAAGCAGCUUAAUAAUAAAACACUCGCUUAACCUCAUAUACAACAGGGCCAAGAAAUCAUAGUUUGUAGGUAGCCUUCAGGAAAUAAAAGUUUGUGUUUCCUGAUGCUAGGGUCAAGGCCAUAUAAACUAUACUUAGGACACAUUGUAAUGGAAAUCAGUGUGUCCAAAUGGUUGUUGAAAUUAAUAUGUGUUUUAUGGUAAUAUUCUAACAAUUUCAAAAUCAGAAUCAUUUGAUAUUCAGAUUGUAAUACUACAUAUUAAUGUCUAAAGUACCUGACCCUAAGGAAAUGAUUUUUAGCUUGGAAGAAACCUUCAGAUUAUUUUAUUAUUUAAUACUAUUGUGACAUUAGGUCUACUGACUAUGUAUAUUCCUUAGAAUAAAUAAAUACCUUAGAUGGUGACAAGCUGUCUCCCAGUUUGUCCAAGAUUUCUAGUGUUCUGAGGCUUGAGUUUAUGGUUGACUUCAUGAGUAUUUUGGGGCAUUCAGGUAGGAGACUGUUAGAAUUAUUCAUAAUAACUUGCCGAUGAAGUCAGUUCUGGUUAGCUGGAGGGAUCCUAGGAAGAAAAAUGUGGGAAUCAGACAAAGAUGUGUAAAGUAGAUACACUCAUUAAGAUCAGCCUUUGUAUCUCCUUUCCUGAACGGGUGAGCAGCUGGUGUCCACUCUGGAGAGUUGAGCAUGAAGAAGCCUGUACUGUCAGAUUACAGUUCCAUAAGCAGCUCCAGUUCCAGCUCCAGCCUCAGUCACAUCGAAUGCCAUGUUACAUAGCAUAUCUCACGCAGCUUAUAAAAUUAUUAUGGGAGAUGAUAGCGGAGGAGAGGUAGGACACUUUUAACUAAUGGUUUUCAUUUGGAGGAAAAGGAAAGACCACGCAGCACUUUCUGCCUGCGUCCCUUCUUUUUGAUAAGCCAGGUGAUUGAGAUUGUCAGGCAAAUACUAUGAUUUAGAUUUUAGUAAAUCUAAACAAGGAAAUUCAAUAAUAUUAACCAGGUGACAUAAUACAUAACAAAACAUUACUCUAUUGCAUGUUCAUUUAUAAAAAUAACAACAAAAGGACCUAAAUUAAAGAGACCCUGAUUCCCAUGUUGCUUCUGAGUAACACUGGUUAAAUUCCGUCUGGAGAAAACAGUCCAAAAAACCAUUUUUAUCUUUAACAGACAAAAAGCAAUCGUUAUUAUUUAUUUUUAUAUCUAUGCCUUAAAGUGGAGGAAAAGCUACAAUCAUUAUGAUAUAGAGGCUACGAGAACCAAAAAAUGGCCUAGUGUCACGAGGAGAAUGGCGGUAAGAAGAGAUUUUCAAAGUGCCUCUAGUUGUCUUUCAAUUUCACUAGCAGUGUGGAAAACCACAGAAGGAAAUAAGAAAUCAGUUAAACCUGACAAGCUGCCCAGUCAGGGCAAACCAAGGACAGACAUGGAGGCAACGGUCUUCAUAGAUUAGAAAGACAAAACUAAGGAGAGCUGGAGAGAGACCUAUGGCAAGAACCAGGAAAAGACACUUCUUUAAAAGCCUGAGCCAAGGCGGAUGCAUGAUACACGUGAACAGUACCAGAAGAGAUGGACAUGGAGAUGGUGGACAUUGGAGACUGAGAUGGCGGUGAUAGAAAUGGAGAUGGUGGAGACGAUCAAGAUGAAAAGGCAGGCAACAAGAGAGAACAGUGGUGACUAAGGAGAGAACUCAGCUUUUUGCAGUGGAACUCUGAAUGUUGAGAACAAAUACGUACAUACUCUCCGUGACUUAUGUAUCAGUACAUUGUAAGAUUUCCUGAACAAUGUCAUGUAAAUUAUUUACGGCAUUCUAGUAAAACUUCAAUAACAUAUUAAGUUUCACUACAAAACACAGCGGAGAAUGCUUUCAAAGUGCAAGCUAAACUCUGUAUCAUUUACAAUUGUGAUUAGAUGAACAACCACCCAUUAGCCCUGUACUGUCCCACAUGAGUCACAAUCUAAACGAUGCUAAGCCAUUUAAAAACAGAGAUUUGCCUUCCACACCCAGUUUAGAAUUUAAUUUUAUAUACAAGGGCAUUUAAGAGCACUGAGAGACCUUAAAGUUAAGAUUAUUAUUAUUAUUGUUGUGUGGUUAUGCCCCCAGAUAGAGUGGAGGAUGUUGUCGCAGCUCCCGUGUGCAGGUCAGCAGAGUGGGUUCUUUCAUUCCACCUUAAUGCAAAUUCUGGAGAUUAAACUCUAGCAGUCAUCCCCUCACAGAAAGUUUGUUUAAUCAUUGAGCCAUCUUGUUGGGCCUAUCAUAUAUCUUUUAAAAAGAUCAUUUUUAUUGUAUGCAUAUAUAAGUGUUUUGCCUGGACAAAUGUGUGCUAUGCCCACGGAGACCAGAACAGAGUACUGGAUCCCAUGGAAUUGUAGUUAUAGAUCGCUGUGAGCAGCCAUCUUGGAGCUGGGAACCAAACCUAAGUCCUCUGCAAGAGUGGCCCGUGCUUGAACCGCUGAGCUGUCUCUCCAGGUCCACCAGUAUGCACUUAAAGUAUUUCUGUAGCCGAGUGUUAUCUGCAUGCAGAGCCCAAUGCUGUAAGCAUUGGACCAACAUAGGCUUUAUCUGUAAAAGUCCCCAAAAGAAGUGGAACUCUGCCGGACUGAUUUCCAGAGUGGCUGUACAGCCUGCGAUCCCACCAGCAAUGGAGGAGUGGUCCUCUUUCUCCACAACCUCACUAGAGUCUGCUGUCACCUGACAUUUUGAUCUUAGCAAUUCUGACUGGCGUGAGGUGGAUUUUCAAGUUGGUCUUGACUUGCAUUUCUCUGAGGAUGUUGAGCAUUUCUUUAGGUGCUUCUCGGCAAAGCAGGUUUCCUCAGUUGAGAAUUUUCUCUUUAGGUUUAUACCCCAUUUUUCAGCAGGAUUAUUUGAUUCUCUGGAGUUUACCUUCUUGAGUUCUUCGUGUAUUUUGUGUAUUAGCCUUCUAUUGGAUGUAGUGUUGAUAAAGGCCUUCUUCCCAAUCUGUUAGUUGCUGAUUUGUCCUAAUGACAGUGUCUUUUGCCUUACAGAAGCUUUUCAAUUUUAUGAAGUCCCGUUUGUCAAUUGUUGAUCUUAGGGCAUAAGCCACUGGCAUUCUGUUCGGGAAAUUUUCCCCAGUGCCCAUGUGUUCUUCUUCCCCACUUUCUCUUCUAUUAGAUAAGAAUCUGUCAAUUGCAUUCUUCUACAUUCAGACCGACAGUUGAACCAGCAAUCUGGCAAUUCCUCAGAGAAUUAGAAAUAGUUCUAUCUGAAGAUCCAGCUAUACCACUCCUGGGCAUAUAACAAGGACACAUGUUCCACCAUGUUCAUAGAAACCUUAUUUAUAAUAGCCAGAAGCUGGAAACAACCCAGAUGUCCUUCAACAAGGGAAUGGAUACAGAAAAAUGUGGUACAUCUACAUAAUGGAGUAUUACUCAAGUAAUAAAAACAAUGACUCCGUGAAAUUCAAGGUCAAGAACUAGAAAAGGCCAUCCUGAGUGAGGUAACCCAGGAACAAAAGAACAUACAUGGUAUGUACUGACUGAUAAGUGGAUAGUAUCCCAAAACUCGUAAUGCCCAUGAUAUAACCCAAAGACCGUAUUAUUGUCCUUUCCUUUAUUUGAUAGAGAUAAAAUAUAAGCAGUUUGUUCUAACUUUAGGUUUACCUAUUUAUUUAUUUAUUUAUUUAUUUAUUUAUUUAAUUGGUUUAUUUAUUUACUUAUUUACGUACAUACACAUACACAUAAAAAUGUAUACAGCAUUGGUUAUGAAGGUUAGACAUCUUAUAAAAUUAUAUUUAUUUUAGUUUAUUUAUAUAAUGCAUAAUGUUCAGUGUUAAGAAGUAAAAUAGGCAUGAUAUUGAUUAAAUUAAGUGACUGUAGGCGCAAUAAUGAAACGUUCUUACUUUGAGUGGUAUGUAACUUUUCUUCCUUUAAGCUAAAGAGAAUCUACUUCCUAAUCCUUCAAAGCCUACUUGUCCUGGGGACAUAGCUUAGUGACAGAGACCUCCACUCCCAUGUGGUCUUAGUCACGGCUACUAUUUUUAUGUCAAAACAUCAAGGCCAAAUCAAAGCCAGGAGAUAGAGUUUAUUUGGCUGUUUCUGUUCAUCAUUGGAAGAAGUCAGAACCUGAGCUAAGCAGGGCAGGAACCAUGGAGUCAGGAGCAGAUGCAGAGGCCAUUGAGGAGUGAUCCUAACUGGACCUUUCCACCUGCUUUAUUCACCCUGUUCUCUGGUUGAGAGCCCAGGAGCAGGAGUGUCAGACCAGAGACGGAAGCAUCCAAAAUGGGCUGGACCCUUCCACAUCAGUUAAGAUGAAGAAAACAACUUACAUUCAGAGCUUAUGAAGUCAUUUUCACUUUCAGUUGAGAUUUUCUCCUGUUUGAUUGCUCUUUUUGAUUGUAUAGAGUUGACAUGAAGCUAGCCAAGACAUACAUGUAGGAACCAGAAUUCUCUCUUAACCACGAUCAAUCACCAGAAGAAGGAAAUAUAAAGCUAGAGACCAUUCUUCAGUACAUGUCAAUACAAGCACAUCUCACUGCAAUGUGCACACAGUAAAAUGAAGUCCAAUUCAAAGUUAUCUAUAGAGAAACAGAGAUAAACUUAGCAGCUGGAAAUUAAAUGGAAUUGGCCCAAAGAAGCAAUAUAUCCACAAUACAGAAUCUUCUAAAUUUGAGAAUGUAUAGAUCUGAAGAGUAUAAAAAUACAUGAAGAAAAAAAGAACAAAGCAGAAGAACCCAAUACACACGCAUCCUCACAUAAGAAAACCGAUUUAAAAGCAAAUUCAGAAACCACAAUGCGUAAGCAAAAGAUCUGAAAAUGAUUUUAAUGCAAAGAAUUAUUCUACAAAAUUACAGAGAAAUAUUCCCAAAAUCGCAAUUUUCAAAGAUCAUAAUUUGUGUACAAUUGCAAUCAUCAAGUGGUUUAGCUACAUGGACACCUUACUGUUAGGAUGCAUUUGCUAUACUCAAAGGUGUCAAGGCCAGGAAAAUCACAUGCAGAGCUAAAACUGUAUUUCCUGCAUGUUUGACCCAAACUUCGUUGUUUUCAGAAAGGCAUAUGGAGUGAUACACUUUUGUUUUCUGAUCUUUGAACACUGGAUUGGCAUACCUGCUAAAGAGACUUAUUUUUUUACAUCUCUUUUCUCGUUUUCUGCUUGUGCUUAUAAAAUCUAAGCCAAGAGUAUCCACAACCUUGAGCAAAAGCUCUCACAUAGCACUCCUUUGCAUGCAAAGAGUUCAACAGCAAAUUCCUGUGGAAUAGAGCUAUAUAAUUAAGCCCAAUAUCGAGGCUUAAAAUAUUAUCUCUAAAAAGCAACUUUAUCUUUUUAUAUUUUACCAUCGAGGUUGUAUUCUUCCCUCCGAAGUUUUGCUUUAAACAAGGUAUGUUUUUAUUGGGAUUAGGGCCUAACUUUUGCUUUAAACAAGGUAUGUUUUUACUGGGAUUAGGGCCUAACUUUUAUGUAUUUUGUACAUGUAACCGAAAAUAAGUUUGGAGUUACUAUUAUAAGUCCAAAAUGUUUGGUAGAAUUCAAAAUGGAAUCUCAUGAAGAAAUAACACAAAAGUGAAAUUCAGGAAGCAAAGAGAAAGAGCAUCGGGUGGAGGUGGUAGUAAUCAGAAUGAAUCUUAUGUAUGCAUUAACUUGUCAAUGAAUAAAUUCAGUAGUCUUUUAAACACUCAAAACUUAUAUGCUUAAAAUAUAUAUUCCAAUACUACAUAAAUCUUAUAAAAUGCAGAAACAAUAAUCGUAAGUAUAUUCAUUUCCCUUUAAAUAGAAUUAUAUCUAUACACAGUGCCAGUGUACACAUAUCCAGACAUUAAUAAAAAUACAUCUCAGCACCAUUCAGAAUAGAGACAUCCAUUUACACAGAUUUACAUUUCUGGUACAUUAAUAAGUUCUAACUUCGAAUUCUUAAAAGCUGAAAGAGACUGUUCAUUUUCUAUAAAUGUACCCAUCAUUUUCUUAUCUAAAUAUUGACUUUGAUGUUGCAGACACAUUAAUAUAGUCAGACCACAUACUUAUCCCACAGACAGCUUAAUAACUUCUUUACAAUUUCUCUUUAGCAUAUCAAAAUAUGUUUUAUGCUCAAACUUCACUUACUAACUCAAACAAUUUCAUGAUUUUUGACAUUAUCAGCAGAAAAUAGCACAGUGGAGUUUCCCAUGUGUUACAGACAGUUUGAAUAAGUUUCUUCCUGCAUGCAUCUGUAGUGGAUAUCAUGAGAUGUGUUGUCUUUCAAAACUGCCAAUUUUAAACUCGAGUAAACAAAAAGAGUUAUUGAAACCUGAAAGCCAACACUCACUUAAGCUUUUGGUGGAUUCUUGGGUGUUACAAAUCCACAGUUAAUUAACAUCAACCAAUAGCUGUUCUUUAAACAAUGCCUAUUCUGGGAAAAAACAUUUCAGAUAUGCUGUUUUCUCCAAUGUUUUCUUUAUCACACAGACACAAACUAAACUAAUGCUGGUAACAAUUACCAAUAUUACAAUAACACUAUUUGUAGCAACCACUAAGACUUGUUACCGUAACAUUCUAGAGAUGGUUUUAAACACUUUAUGUAGAUUGUCUCAAAAUUUACUCUGAACAAAUAAUGUAAAUUUGGUUAGAAAACAGGAGCAGUUAUUUAUCUAAAUUAAACAACAUUUUAAAUAUUUUAAUACAAGAUGAAGAACAACAGCCUUAGAAACCCAUACAAUGUUCACAAAAAUGUCUCCACUUAAUUACUACAUUACUUUUUCCUUAGUGUAAAAAAAAAUCCAUAGAAAGGUUUGAUAAAAAAUAAAUCAUUAUAUGUUAAAUUAGAUUUUUUAAAUUUUUUAUUGGUUAUUUAUUUAUUUAUAUUUCAAAUGUUAUUCCCCUUCCCUGUUUCCCCCCGCCCCUCAAAUCCCCUAUCCCAUCCCUGAUCUACCCUGUUUCUGUGAGGGUGCUCCCUCACACACCCACCCACUCCUGCCUGCCUCACUGCCCUAUAUUUAAAUAAGUGUUUGCUUCUCUGCUGUCCCCUAUUUAUUGUGAAAGACCAUUCAGAAAGAAAGUAGGAACAGGAAGCUAGGAAGCUAGAAAGCUUGGAAGCUGAGAAGUGGGGAAGCUAGGAAACUGAGCUUUGAAAAGUCUUCUCAGGGACAAUGAACAAGCGUUGGAAUCAGGAAGCCAAGACACUGCAGAGGAUCUGCAUGUGUACACUAGUCAGUUAUGAGUGCGGAAUGGUGUAGGGUUCAUAAUUCUACUUCUCACUGCUGAUCUCUGGUCUAUGAUAGCUUUAGGAACAGAGAGAAUCAUUGCCUUCUGUUGUAUACCAACUGGUAACAAUACCAGGAUCCAGUACUGAUUCUGUAGUCAAGCAGAUGGCCUUGGCUAAACAAAACAGUUAACACAUCAUGAAUCAGAAAAGCGAUUGAGAUGUGGGAUGGUUGAUAGUCAUGGUAAAUAAAGAGGCAGGGAAAGAGAGAAAUCAUGAUUUAGUAUACUGUGAAACUACCAAGUAAUAAAAUUCAUCAAAACAAUAAGCAUGCAAUAUGAAGUUUGAUAACAUAAUCUAAAAUAUAGCCCCUAUUAUAAUACAUUAACUGACAUUAGACAAAUACAGAUUAAUCAAAUCAUAGAAAGAAAACUAACAUGCAAGAAUUAUUGUCUAAAUUAUAGAAAUUGUAGGACCCGUUUAUCACAGAGAAACUUGGUGUACAGUAAACUUCUCUUGGCUAGACUUAUUGUUUGUACCAGUGAGAACACAGUGUUUGUGACUGACUAUAUCUUUAUAGUGUUCUUUAUGAAUUUAUUGCUCAUCUUAUGUAAAGGAAUUCUGCAGUUAUCCCAGCUCAAAUUAUAAAGAUAAUAUAACUAUGUAGAAUGUUGACCAAAAAGACCCAUGGAACCUGUGAUUUGUAAUGUGUUGUUUCUGUACAGGGAUUUUCAGAGUAAGUUACUAGUUUCACUUAGCAUUUGUUUCAGACAAACAUAUACUGAUAUAGAAGUAAGAAAAUUGGGGGUAUUGUACCAUUUUCCAACAAUCAGGCACUGAGCGUAUGUCACAAUUCUUCUGCCUGCUUCUUUACACAAGUGUGCAUAAGCUGAAGAGAGGCCCAGCUAAUAAGAACACUGUCUACUCCUCCAUAAGACCCAGAGUUAUUUCCAGGUCAGACCUAGCAGCCAAUAACCAUCCAUACGUAGCUUUACUUCCAAAACACUGACUGCCUUUUCUCGCCUCCGCGAGAAAAAAACAAUGUACACAGACAUACAGGCAGGCAAAGCACUCAUAUAUGUAACAGCAAAUGAAUAAACCUUUAAAAUAAAUAAAAUAAAUAUGUAAUUCUCUAUCUUCUUCUUUAGACCUAACACUUCUGAAAUUCAUUUAAACUGACUGUAAUUUUUGUUAUCACUUCUCAUGAUAACGAAGUCUAAAAAUAACAUAGAGAAUGUUCUAAAACGUUGUUACAUUUGAAACCAGCUAGAAAUAAAUUCUCUAAAACAAAACUUGGUAAUUCGCUGAAUAUAAUAAACCAGAUUUCUCCAGAGCGUAUUGAUCUUUGCAGCGAAUCGACAACUAACCAUCCAUGCAUUUCAAAUGCAUUGCUCUACUUAAACCAAGAAACAAAUGAGCAAUGACAACAAGAAAAACAACUACAGAUGGACAGAAUGGACAGAAUUAUGGUUUCAUCUACUUACCUCCAGUUUGAAGUAAACCAGGCUAAACUUUUGCAGAAAGAGAUUUUAAAAUUCAUUUAAGAUAUUUAGAUAUUAAAACAGCAUGCAAACCUGUUUUACAAAACAUAA